GGGCCCUAUCUUCUCCACCAACAAAUGAGUGGACUCCAUCCCCGGCCUGCACCACCCCACAGCCAUCAUCUCCCACAAUGUCGAGCAGGCUAGUGAGGCUCGAGGUGGGUCCCUCCUCAUUCGAAGGUGACAAAGGAUUCAUGAUAACCAUUAGGAGAGUAUAGAGGGACGACUCUGCUCUCCAGAACCACCAGCUCACAGGCAAGUUGGUGAAUAUGAUCUUGUUACCAGCUGAU
rnacentral:lncRNA from 1 species